GCAUUGUGCGAAAUAUGGUGGAGGGUCAGUGGUAGAAUGCUCGCCUGCCACGCGGGCGACCCGGGGUCGAUUCCUGGCCAAUGCA